rnacentral:lncRNA from 1 species
GAAAUUCAAGGUCUGAAAUGUUCUUACCAUGGGAAAAUUGGACGUUGAUGCCAGCGAUCUUCCUUAUUUCCUCCCUGGCAAUCUCACCUGUCUUUUUACAAUCUAUAACUCUCUUCAAAGACAAGAACUUCCGUGGUCAUACGUGUGAUAUCCAGGUCAAAGGAUGCCAAAGGGUUUUGUCCUGAAGUGAAGAGCCAGGCUUCAUCUAUACAAGGAACUUCAAACUGCACUCAUUUCUACCGACGGGAAGGUUGUACAGCCUACAUGGGCACUUGGAACUCGAACAUGGGUGCAAUUAAGAACUUUAAGCACAAGGACGCCCAAGACGCAAUCGUGUCUGUCGGAGACUGCAGUAAGCCAAUUCCGGAAAAUACCGUUACUUUUUACGAGCAUAAGAAUUAUCACGGGAAGAGCUGCACCAUACAGGUGAGUGAGAGCUGCCAGCCUAUGUGUCCGGAAAUGGACAACCUAGCUUCGUCCGCAGAAGGAAACGCCGCCUGCAUCGAAACAUACGAUGAUAACAACUGCCACCAAUACGUGGGUGAUUUAAUCGAUUUCAAACGUGGGGGCUACAGAAACUUUAUAGAAUCCCCUUAUAAUUAUGGAUUUUUUCAAGACAAAAUCUCCUCUGUCAAAUUGUGCUCGAUGAACAGGACCGCUACAUUCUACGAAGACCUUUAUCAAGAGGGAAAAAGUUGCACCAUACCGUUAAAUAAAGGCUGCCAACCCUUGUGCUCCGAACUUAAGAACGAAUUUUAUUCUGCGAAUGGAACAAGUAGUUGCAUCAGGACAUGGUCAGAACUCAACUGCAAAGGAGAGCAGAUUGAAUACGAUCUACCGGUGAAUCGCCUUUAUCACUAUGCAGCCUCUGUCGAGGACUGUGUAGACACGGACCACGACAGAAUUCCAACGAGACCCCUGGAUCUCAGGCGACCUGAUAUCUGGCAUUGAGAUCAAGGAUUAGGUACGUUUCAUUUCUACAGCUUAUUUCGCCACGUGGCAAAAUGCAACAAAAAAUGUUGCAUCUUGCCACAGAUUCUAGGUGCGAUGUGGCUGAACGAAACAAAAAUUAGUGUGGCAAAAUGCUACAAAUUAUGUUGCAGUUGGCGACAUGACCAAAGGACAAAACCACGUAUCUGCAUUGCAGCGUUCCCAAACCUAAUCGGAACGAAUUUGACCUAACCUUACCUAACCUUACAUAAACUAACCUUGCCUAACAUAACCUAACUUAGCCUAACAUGACGGUGCUAGGUCAUUUUUCCUAAUUUUUUUUUUCCUACUGCAAGUUUUCCUAGUACUUUUUUCCUACUGGUUUUUCGUCCCAUUACAGUAAGUCCUACGAGUGAGAUCUCCCACUGGCUUUUUUCCUAAGGGUGUUUGUCCUAAUAAUGACAGAAACGUAAAGACGAGUAGAGGAGAGAGAAUUUUUUUUAAGAGAGUGGGUAAUCACUGGGUACAUCGACCUGGUGUAUCAAGUUUCUGCGAUUUUUUACGGCAAGUCGGUAGAUUUUCGGGAUGUAGAUUUCUUACUUUCAAUUCAUGAAUGAAUAAAGAAUGGACAUGGUUGAACUUCUUUGCAUGGAAAGACGUUUAAAAUAACAAAAUCAAGACAUAUUUAAUGCAACUGCAUUUAUAUCGAGUCAAUUUCUUUUCAAUAAUAUAUCGGGAUUUAUACUACCGGUGAUUUGGGUAUUUUAGCCCCAAAAUACCUUUAAAUCGACUUUAUCUUUCAGGAGUUCGACAGAAUUUUUCCUUUCUUCGCUUCAAUUAUUCCGUAGCACUUUUCUUCAAGAAUCUGAUAAGAUUUUGCUUGAGGCAGAUCAAAAAACUUAAACUCGUUCGAAUGGCUUAUCCACAAUACACGGUCUUGUCAAGGUGCGUCGUUGACCUCGCAGUGUUGAAUCGUGAAUUCUCUUGUUGUGCUGCUUGCCUAUUUUGAAAUCUCUGUAAAUGAAAACUAAAGGGGUUGAUAUGUGCGAGUUAAUGACGCGCCUUAUCAAUACAUUGUGUUGGAGUUCACUGCUUGUUUAAAAUUGAAAUUAGGACAAACACCCCUAGGAAAAAAGCCAGUAGGACAUCUCACUCAUAGGACUAACUGUGAUGGGACAAAAGACCUGUAGGAAAAAAGUACUAGGAAAACUUGCAGUAGGAAACAAAGUUUUAGGAAAAAUGACUUGCCACCAACAUGACCUAACCUAACCUUACCUUACCUAACAUGACCUAACCUAAGGAAGGAAACCUGGACGCAUGUGGUCAAUAAUUCCUUCGGAAACUUUCCUAUUAGUCGUUUUUCAUGUAUUUCAGCGUAAAGUAGAAUUAGUAUUGCAUUGGUCACUAGUGGGGAAUGGUAAUAUUAUUAUAAUAAAAAUUGGUUUCAAUACGAAUGGUUGUUUAUACUUUUUCAUCUAUAUUCCAAUUGAGCAAGCCCAUGUCCUUGGCUCCGGCACUGAACAAGUAUUGGUGACGAAAUCAUUGUGUAUGCUAAAGAAAACGUGUUUCAAUGGGAAUGAACCACUAGGCAAGGUACGAGCUGAAGUGUUCACAAAUAUUCCACCCAAAAUUUUACACAGAAC